CGGGGAGGCGCGCUGCAGGGGGGCGCCGAGGAGCGGGUGAAGCCGUCGAGGAGCCAUGUUGGGUGUGGGAACGCUGCCGGGGCGGGGGCGGCGUGUUUGCACCGCGGCUGGACGGAGCUUCUAACAUUCUACACUCUUCUAAUUCGGUCACUGGUAAAUGCUUCAUUUACGUGUACUGCGCACGUGCAGAACGCGGGGAAGGGAACGUCGCGGUGCUGACAGACGCUGCUUCAGCUCGGUCGGUGGCUUUUCCCUGCAGGACAAACAAGGCGAGUACACGAGCACUGUGAAGUGACAUCAUGCCUCGAUUCGGGCUCCUGUCGUGAUAGCGCUGGGCAAAGGGCGCUCAGUGCUCGGGGUGCUGCGGCAGCUCGGUCGCACCGUGGGCAUUGGUUGGGAAUUGCACACGGCCUGCUGAGCACAAGGGGACGCGUGGAAAUCGCCCGAUAAACAGCGGGUGGCUGAGAUUCGGCAGGAGGAGACCUGACACUGGUGCCAGGCAACGAGGGUGAAGGUAAAAUCAAGGUUACAGAAUGUUUGAGUCCUUUUGCAGUUCUGCACGGCAGACCCGACCAAUUUCAGUUUAAAGGGGAAGCUGUGAGUCGAUGAGGUGAAAAUUAUUUACGUCCUACCGGGAUGAGCAGCCCGUGGCCUCACUGGGUUUUUCUCUUUGGCUUAUUUUCCACCUAGAGGACAGGUUACACACACCUACAGCACACAGCUCUCCUGCUGUGUCGUGAGGAUCAGAGCGAACCCCAUGGCUGUCUGAACUCUUCCAACCACAGAGGUCAGGUUCCUCAGCACAGCUGGAUCCACUCCUAGUCCCAGACGCGUUCAGGAGUUUGUGCCUGAGGGAUCCUAUGUGCACAAUCAAAGAUGCCACCUUAGUGAAGCUGACAAAGCUCAAACCAAACUGUCAGUCGCUCACUGAGGAUCCGUACCAGCAAGGUUUCUUGACAUCAAGGUGGAAAGGAUCUCUGUGCAGGCGUGACCUCAAGAGGCAUCCCUGCUCAAGGGUGUAGGAAUGGAAUGUUGUUUCUGCGUUAGAUAUUAAAAAGGGGGAAUUGAUCUGAAGCAGCAGAGCACAAUAUACUUGUACUUUGUAACUUGUCCUUAGAAAUAGCUGAUGUGAAAAAGUAGAAAUACCAUAUAUGUUAAUAACGUACUUUAGAAAUAUAGUUGCUGAACUGUGUGAUUAA